rnacentral:lncRNA from 1 species
AAAAUUAGAUCAAGUUCUUGUUUGAUUUAAGUGAAUUUUUAUUUGUCAAUUAAAUCUUUGUUAUCAUCAUUGCUAAUAAUUCAUAUUUUAUUAUAUAGUAUUACUAUUUAAUUAAUUAAUAUUUACUUCUUACCAUUUAUUAUUUAAUAUAACUUAGGAAAUUAUUCAUUAUUCUUGGGAUUUAUGUGAAUUAUUAUAUUUGUGCUUCGUUUAUUCAUUUGUG